UACAUGUGGGGCAAGCGUUGUUCGGAAUUACUGGGCGUAAAGCGCACGUAGGCGGAUAUUUAAGUCAGGGGUGAAAUCCCAGAGCUCAACUCUGGAACUGCCUUUGAUACUGGGUAUCUCGAGUAUAGAAGAGGUGAGUGGAAUUCCGAGUGUAGAGGUGAAAUUCGUAGAUAUUCGGAGGAACACCAGUGGCGAAGGCGGCUCACUGGUCCAUUACUGACGCUGAGGUGCGAAAGCGUGGGGAGCAAACAGG
rnacentral:rRNA from 1 species